rnacentral:rRNA from 1 species
GACGAACGCUGGCGGCGUGCCUAAUACAUGCAAGUCGAGCGCAGGAAACUGACAGAACUCUUCGGAGGGAAGGCAGUGGAAUGAGCGGCGGACGGGUGAGUAACACGUAAGGAACCUGCCUCAAGGAUUGGGAUAACUCCGAGAAAUCGGAGCUAAUACCGGAUAGUUCAUCGGACCGCAUGGUCCGCUGAUGAAAGGCGCUCCGGCGUCACCUUGAGAUGGCCUUGCGGUGCAUUAGCUAGUUGGUGGGGUAACGGCCCACCAAGGCGACGAUGCAUAGCGGAGCUGGGAGGGUGAUCGGCCACACUGGGACUGAGACACGGCCCAGACUCCUACGGGAGGCAGCAGUAGGGAAUCUUCCACAAUGGACGAAAGUCUGAUGGAGCAACGCCGCGUGAGUGAUGAAGGUUUUCGGAUCGUAAAACUCUGUUGUAAGGGAAGAACACGUACGAGAGGAAUGCUCGUACCUUGACGGUACCUUACGAGAAAGCCACGGCUAACUACGUGCCAGCCGCCGCCGUAAUAC